GGGGCGGUAGCUCAGCUGGUCAGAGCAGGAGACUCAUAAUCUCCCAGUCGCGGGUUCGAGUCCCGCCCGCCCUA
rnacentral:tRNA from 1 species